UACGAAGGGGGCUAGCGUUGCUCGGAAUCACUGGGCGUAAAGCGCACGUAGGCGGAUUGCUAAGUCAGGGGUGAAAUCCUGGAGCUCAACUCCAGAACUGCCUUUGAUACUGGCGACCUUGAGUCCGGGAGAGGUGAGUGGAACUGCGAGUGUAGAGGUAAAAUUCGUAGAUAUUCGCAAGAACACCAGUGGCGAAGGCGGCUCACUGGCCCGGUACUGACGCUGAGGUGCGAAAGCGUGGGGAGCAAACAGG
rnacentral:rRNA from 1 species